GGGCGUGUGGUCUAGGGGUAUGAUCCUCGCUUCGCAAGGCCUUCUCGGCAUAUCUUGUGUUCUGCGAGUGGUCCAGGGUUCAAUUCCCUGUUCGUCCA